CCAGUGAACAAUUAAACGGCCGCGGUACCCUAACCGUGCAAAGGUAGCAUAAUCAUUUGUCUACUAAUUAUAGACCUGCAUGAAAGGCAAAAUGAGGGUCUAACUGUCUCUUAUAAUGAAUCAAUUAAACUGAUCUCCUAGUAAAAAAGCUAGAAUCUCCACAUAAGACCAGAAGACCCUGUGAAGCUUAAACUAAACUAUUAAACCAUAUAAUAACCACUUUCGGUUGGGGCGACCUUGGAAAAAAAAAGAACUUCCAAAAACUAUGACUAUCCAUACUACCCAGGCCAACAAGCCAAUAAACGACCCAGCACAGCUGAUCACCGAACCAAGUUACUCCAGGGAUAACAGCGCAAUCCUCUUCAAGAGCCCAUAUCAAAAAGAGGGUUUACGACCU
rnacentral:rRNA from 1 species